rnacentral:lncRNA from 1 species
GGAACCCUCAAGCGGCACCUGCGGAUCCCACAGCGGGGAGAAGCCCCACGUGUGCAUCCACUGCCAGCGGCAGUUUGCUGACCCUGGUGCCCUGCAGCGGCACGUCCGGAUCCACACGGGUGGAAGCCGUGGCCAGUGUGUGAUGUGCGGCAAGGCCUUCACGCAGGCCAGCUCCCCUCAUAGCCCACGUGCGCCAGCACACUGGGGAGAAACCCUACGUCUGUGAGCGCUGCGGCAAGAGGUUCGUCCAAUCUAGCCAGUUGGCCAAUCACAUUCGUCACCAUGACAACAUCCGCCCACACAAGUGCAGUGUUUGCAGCAAGGCCUUUGUGAACGUGGGGGACCUGUCCAAGCACAUCAUCAUCCACACUGGCAGGAGAGACCCUUGCCUCCCCACCAGGAGAGAAGCCCUACCUGUGUGACAAGUGUGGGCGUGGCUUCAACCGGGUGGACAACCUGCGGUCCCAUGUGAAGACUGUGCACCAGGGCAAGGCCGGCAUCAAAAUCUUGGAGCCAGAGGAGGGGGCAGUGAGGUCAGCGUGGUCACUGUGGAUGACAUGGUCACACUGGCCACCGAGGCACUGGCAGCAACAGCCGUCACUCAGCUCACAGUGGUACCAGUGGGGGCAGCGGUGACAGCCGAUGAGACAGAAGUGCUAAAAGCUGAGAUCAGCAAAGCCGUAAAGCAAGUGCAGGAAGAAGGUGAGGGGCCCCCCAGGGUGUGGGCUCUGGUGGACCGGGGCCUUUCCCACCCUGACUGCAGCCCCCACCUCCACAGACCCCAACACCCACAUCCUCUACGCCUGUGACUCCUGUGGGGACAAAUUCCUGGAUGCCAACAGUCUGGCGCAGCACGUUCGGAUCCACACAGCCCAAGCGCUGGUCAUGUUUCAGACAGACGCGGACUUCUACCAGCAGUACGGCCCGGGAGGCACGUGGCCAGCUGGGCAGGUGUUGCAGGCUGGGGAGCUGGUCUUCCGCCCUCGGGACGGGGCUGAGGGCCAGCCCGCGCCAGCAGAGACCCCACCUGAAGCUCCUGAGUGCCCACCACCUGCUGAGUGAUCGGGCAUCCCUUCUCCUGACUUUUUUAUUUGGGGUGGAUGGCACCCUAGAACUGAGAAGGGUGCCCCCAUUCCCUAGAGAAUAAAUCUGAUUAUUUUCUAAUGCUGCCUGUGAGGUCCCUGUUGCAGGGAGUGGGAGGGCUGGCAGCUAUGGCGGAUGUGACAGAAGAGCUCCACUGUCCAAGGACCAGCCUUCCUAGAAAAGUCCUGCUGUCUCUGGGGCAGACCUGUCUAUACCCAGGCUGACCAUCCUGAGCUGGGCUGUGGCAGCACAUGGACUGAGACUGCAGCUCCACAGGCCCCCAGGCAGCCUGGGUGCUCUCCCCACCAAGCACUGCUGUGACCCCACUCUCUCUCUACAGGCCCAGGGGACUGGGCAGCUGAGGAAGAAAGGGCAGUGGGGAGAACCACACUGCUCCAAGAGAGCCAGGCAGCCCAGACAGCACCAGCUACCCCUCCCAAAGCUAAGCCCAGCUCCAAGACCUCAGUGGCUUUGCCCCCUUUGGCCGCUCAUGGGACUGGCUCAAGGGCACUUUCAUCCAGAGAAUGAAGGCUGAAGUGCUUUCCAGGUUACCUAGGAGCCAAUCAGGACCUUGAAGUUUCAUGAUGAUCUACACACACCAGAACACUGGAAAAUGUUACAGUUCAUCCACAAGAAGUCUUUUGUACAAGAUGAAGUCAUCUUGGGGAGGAUUAAGGUGGGGUAAAAGCAUAGGUGAGGUGAAGCUAGCUGUUGCCCUAAGCCAGUGCCCCCUGGCCCUCCCACAGAGCGACAAAUCACAUUCACACUUGAGGUGUUUUGUAUUUUUUAAUAAAGUUUGUAAUCCAAUGGACACACAAAACAAAACUGCGCUGAGAAAACAGUUUCAUAAAUUAAUAAGUGUUAGGAAGUGGGAGAGGUCUGGGUCACAGGAAGAAGGUUGGCCAGUCUUUCUGUACAGGUGCUGUGUGACACUUCCACGAAGCGGGAGCAGCGCCCGUGCUGUCAUGAAGCGCACUUAUACAAAUGAGUGACAAUACAAAGUCUGAGUAUGAAAAUAAGAUUUUCUCUGAAAACACAUUUUUUGGCACAGAUUAAAAAAAAUGUAUGUUGGGGAAAUUUGAUUUUUAAGUCAGUAUUAUAUAUAUUUAUAUAUAUUAUAUAUUUAUAUAUACACACAUCCCAAGUUCUGCAUAUCCCACCAAGAAAGGAAAUCCUGUGUUUGCUCCUGUUCCACUGUAAACUGUACAUCCUGGUGAGCCAAACGUGGUGGCAGCAGGAGAGUUAAAGGUGAUGUCCAAUGAGCAAAGAAGAGAAGGUGGGGCAAAAAAACCCAAUGAAAUGUUCCUUGACCCCAAGGUUUCAGCAGAAGUUCCCGGUCCUGCAUUAGCGUCUGUGACGUGUUCAUACACACCAAGACGUCUGUCAGUGUCACAGCCUGUCUUCACUGUGCAAAAGUCCAAGUCACUAAUUUAGUGCAAAGGCAGUCCUGUUUUGUUUCUUAAAAACGAAAACAAAAAAUUCCACUGCCCUAUUCCUUUUCUCAAAAAAAAGAAACCCAGCCCCAAGGUGUCUGUGAGUCCCUCAGUUGGUGGCACGUCCCAUGGGCGACAGCAUCGUGUAAACAUACAAGGCAGCAGCACCACCACCCAGGGAGAUCCGUCCCUGGGAGCUGGGUGGUCGAGGAGGCCAGUGUCUGGCAGUGGGGUCUGUCCCCUCCGCAGGUGCUCCCUCUGCCUGACUGGGUAGUCUGGUGUUCAUUUUUGCGGCAGAACCUCGGGAAAUUACUCCUGAGGUGGUGAUCGGUCCCGUGGCUCACACAGAGGCAAUGACAAUCAUAAGGUGGGGAGAGAUGUUGGAGACACUGGCAAGGAGGUCAGGGGCCAGGCGGGAAAGGUGACUCUCAGAGAACUCACAAGGCGGGAAGAUCUGCAGCACAUAGGCGGGCUGGAAAAGGGGGGAAAGAGAAAAUGGGACCUUCCUGCCUUCAGCUCACCCCUCCCCAACAUGCUUCCGACAGGCCCACAACAGGCCAGAAGCAGGCAGCCAGCCUAGGUCAGCAUCCUAGCCAUGACCACGCCCACCAGAUGAACCACUAUGACUGCCCUGAGCGCCUGUGCUCAAGAAGGUCCUUGGGUACCCCCUCACACACUGCUGGUUGCCUCUAUUCAAAAUGCCCUUUGCCUACUUCCUCCAGGAGCUGCUAGGCUACCCUAGCUUGUGCUGGUGACCUGUGUCACCAGACUCCCACUUGCCACCAGCCCUUCCUGUACAGGGGGGUUAGGGCAGAUGGGAUUCGACACCAUGCUGGACCAACCUGAUUGGAGCCAGGGUUCGGAACGUUGAUGAUCCCUGCCGCCUGCUUGGCCUGCAGGUAAGUGAUGAAGGCAGCCUUAAGAGACUCUGUCUGGCUUACCACGUCGUCUUGGUCACGACCACAUGGCAGAGCCAGCAGCAGACAGUAAUCUGUCUCCACCUGAGGCAGAGAAGCCAGUGGUCAGGGGCCUCCUAACCAAAUAGCAGCUCAUAUCCAAUCCAGGAUGCUGAAUCCAUUAAAACCCCCCCUUUGGGCCGGGAAUUUAGCUCAGUGGUUUUGCUGCCUGCUGCGCAAGCGCAAGGACCCAAGUUCGAUCCCCGGUACCAAAAAAAAAAAAGAUGAAAACCCCCCUCCUUCAAGAUGACUUUGUUAAAAGAAAAAGCCUCCUUUCUGGGUGUAAGAAUGUUUCACACUCUCAGGUAGUAAGACAAUGUGCCUUUCACUGUCCACUUCCAAGAAUCGUGCCCCAUGCCGGGAGAAAGUCAGGGAACACCUGUGCAUUCCCUGU